GAUGAACGCUGGCGGCGUGCCUAAUACAUGCAAGUCGAGCGAACGGACGAGAAGCUUGCUUCUCUGAUGUUAGCGGCGGACGGGUGAGUAACACGUGGAUAACCUACCUAUAAGACUGGGAUAACUUCGGGAAACCGGAGCUAAUACCGGAUAAUAUUUUGAACCGCAUGGUUCAAAAGUGAAAGACGGUCUUGCUGUCACUUAUAGAUGGAUCCGCGCUGCAUUAGCUAGUUGGUAAGGUAACGGCUUACCAAGGCAACGAUGCAUAGCCGACCUGAGAGGGUGAUCGGCCACACUGGAACUGAGACACGGUCCAGACUCCUACGGGAGGCAGCAGUAGGGAAUCUUCCGCAAUGGGCGAAAGCCUGACGGAGCAACGCCGCGUGAGUGAUGAAGGUCUUCGGAUCGUAAAACCCUGUUACUAGGGAAGAACAUAUGUGUAAGUAACUGUGCACAUCUUGACGGUACCUAAUCAGAAAGCCACGGCUAACUACGUG
rnacentral:rRNA from 1 species